rnacentral:tRNA from 1 species
GGGGCUAUAGUUAAUAAUAACAUUUGAGUUGCAUUCAAAAAGUACUACCACAAUAGUUAGUCUCA